rnacentral:pre_miRNA from 14 species
AUAUAUGUAUAAUGAAAGAUCCCCGGAUCGGGGAGACCCUCACUCAAGUCUCGGGAUGAUGCGACCCCCCAAGAACUCACACAAGACC